UACGAAGGGGGGCUAGCGUUGCUCGGAAUCACUGGGCGUAAAGCGCACGUAGGCGGUCUUUUAAGUCAGGGGUGAAAUCCUGGAGCUCAACUCCAGAACUGCCUUUGAUACUGAGAGACUUGAGUCCGGGAGAGGUGAGUGGAACUGCGAGUGUAGAGGUGAAAUUCGUAGAUAUUCGCAAGAACACCAGUGGCGAAGGCGGCUCACUGGCCCGGUACUGACGCUGAGGUGCGAAAGCGUGGGGAGCAAACAGG
rnacentral:rRNA from 1 species